AGGAACAUUUAAAUAACAGGAUGAGUUAUCAACCGAAAGAACUGCCAUCAUACUAAAGAAACUUCUUUACAAGAUGUUACAGUCCCACGUAAGAGAUCUAAAUUACACUUUUCCCCAAAUUCACAGUUCCAAGAAGGUGAAGUCAAACCGCAGUAGUUGUCAAAUAACUGCAGACUGUUUAUAUUCAUUAGAUAGCACAUGGGAGAGGUCAAUUUUUUUUUAUAUAAAGUACUUAGAAGACUCAAAACUACAGCACAGGGGAGAGGUUCAUUGUGUUGAUUGUCAACGUUGAAAAGCAAUCAGGACUGGAGGGUGAGAACAAAAUGACAAAGAGGAGAUGACGGAUUUAACAGAUCAAGAGAAUAAACGGGGAAGUCCUUACCAAAAAGAAAACAGGGAAGAAAAGUAUUCAAAUUUCAUUUUAGUGCAAUUAACAUGAGUUCACCUGGCCUCAGUGAGAUAAGCCACAUAACCUGCUUGAAGCAUCUAUAAUGCAGCUUUUUGACAUGAGUUAAAAGUUCUUACAUUGAGUAGUCACUACUUCCACUACUGAAUGAUUUAUACAGUCAAUACACACAAUUUGAGCCAAUCUAUUUCAAUACAAGAUGCGUCUAGGAGGUCAAAUGUGCAAUACCACGUAUUUUCCAAAAAAAAAAAA